rnacentral:rRNA from 1 species
AGAGUUUGAUCAUGGCUCAGAUUGAACGCUGGCGGCAGGCCUAACACAUGCAAGUCGAACGGUAACAGGAAGCAGCUUGCUGCUUCGCUGACGAGUGGCGGACGGGUGAGUAAUGUCUGGGAAACUGCCUGAUGGAGGGGGAUAACUACUGGAAACGGUAGCUAAUACCGCAUAACGUCGCAAGACCAAAGAGGGGGACCUUCGGGCCUCUUGCCAUCGGAUGUGCCCAGAUGGGAUUAGCUUGUUGGUGGGGUAACGGCUCACCAAGGCGACGAUCCCUAGCUGGUCUGAGAGGAUGACCAGCCACACUGGAACUGAGACACGGUCCAGACUCCUACGGGAGGCAGCAGUGGGGAAUAUUGCACAAUGGGCGCAAGCCUGAUGCAGCCAUGCCGCGUGUAUGAAGAAGGCCUUCGGGUUGUAAAGUACUUUCAGCGGGGAGGAAGGGAGUAAAGUUAAUACCUUUGCUCAUUGACGUUACCCGCAGAAGAAGCACCGGCUAACUCCGUGCCAGCAGCCGCGGUAAUACGGAGGGUGCAAGCGUUAAUCGGAAUUACUGGGCGUAAAGCGCACGCAGGCGGUUUGUUAAGUCAGAUGUGAAAUCCCCGGGCUCAACCUGGGAACUGCAUCUGAUACUGGCAAGCUUGAGUCUCGUAGAGGGGGGUAGAAUUCCAGGUGUAGCGGUGAAAUGCGUAGAGAUCUGGAGGAAUACCGGUGGCGAAGGCGGCCCCCUGGACGAAGACUGACGCUCAGGUGCGAAAGCGUGGGGAGCAAACAGGAUUAGAUACCCUGGUAGUCCACGCCGUAAACGAUGUCAACUUGGAGGUUGUGCCCUUGAGGCGUGGCUUCCGGAGCUAACGCGUUAAGUCGACCGCCUGGGGAGUACGGCCGCAAGGUUAAAACUCAAAUGAAUUGACGGGGGCCCGCACAAGCGGUGGAGCAUGUGGUUUAAUUCGAUGCAACGCGAAGAACCUUACCUGGUCUUGACAUCCACGGAAGUUUUCAGAGAUGAGAAUGUGCCUUCGGGAACCGUGAGACAGGUGCUGCAUGGCUGUCGUCAGCUCGUGUUGUGAAAUGUUGGGUUAAGUCCCGCAACGAGCGCAACCCUUAUCCUUUGUUGCCAGCGGUCCGGCCGGGAACUCAAAGGAGACUGCCAGUGAUAAACUGGAGGAAGGUGGGGAUGACGUCAAGUCAUCAUGGCCCUUACGACCAGGGCUACACACGUGCUACAAUGGCGCAUACAAAGAGAAGCGACCUCGCGAGAGCAAGCGGACCUCAUAAAGUGCGUCGUAGUCCGGAUUGGAGUCUGCAACUCGACUCCAUGAAGUCGGAAUCGCUAGUAAUCGUGGAUCAGAAUGCCACGGUGAAUACGUUCCCGGGCCUUGUACACACCGCCCGUCACACCAUGGGAGUGGGUUGCAAAAGAAGUAGGUAGCUUAACCUUCGGGAGGGCGCUUACCACUUUGUGAUUCAUGACUGGGGUGAAGUCGUAACAAGGUAACCGUAGGGGAACCUGCGGUUGGAUCACCU